CAAUGGCGUAUAUUAAAGUUGUUGCGGUUAAAAAGCUCGUAGUUGGAUUUCUGCUGAGAACGACCGGUCCGCCCUUUGGGUGUGUAUCUGGCUCUUUCUUGGCAUCUUCUUGGUGAACGUUGCUGCACUUGACUGUGUGGAGCGCUACCCAGGACUUUUACUUUGAGGAAAUUAGAGUGUUUCAAGCAGGCAUACGCCUUGAAUACAUUAGCAUGGAAUAAUAAGAUAGGACCUCGGUUCUAUUUUGUUGGUUUCUAGAGCUGAGGUAAUGAUUAAUAGGGAUAGUUGGGGGCAUUCGUAUUUAACUGUCAGAGGUGAAAUUCUUGGAUUUGUUAGAGACGGACUACUGCGAAAGCAUUUGCCAAGGAUGUUUUCAUUGA
rnacentral:rRNA from 1 species